rnacentral:rRNA from 1 species
CGAGCGGAACAUUGGAGCUUGCUCCUUUGGUUUAGCGGCGGACGGGUGAGUAACACGUGGGCAACCUGCCCUGCAGAUCGGGAUAACUCCGGGAAACCGGUGCUAAUACCGAAUAGUUUGCGGCCUCUCAUGAGGCUGCACGGAAAGACGGUUUCGGCUGUCACUGCAGGAUGGGCCCGCGGCGCAUUAGCUAGUUGGUGGGGUAACGGCCUACCAAGGCGACGAUGCGUAGCCGACCUGAGAGGGUGAUCGGCCACACUGGGACUGAGACACGGCCCAGACUCCUACGGGAGGCAGCAGUAGGGAAUCUUCCGCAAUGGACGAAAGUCUGACGGAGCAACGCCGCGUGAGUGAAGAAGGUUUUCGGAUCGUAAAACUCUGUUGUGAGGGAAGAACAAGUACCAACUAACUAUUGGUACCUUGACGGUACCUCACCAGAAAGCCACGGCUAACUACGUGCCAGCAGCCGCGGUAAUACGUAGGUGGCAAGCGUUGUCCGGAAUUAUUGGGCGUAAAGCGCGCGCAGGCGGUCCUUUAAGUCUGAUGUGAAAGCCCACGGCUCAACCGUGGAGGGUCAUUGGAAACUGGGGGACUUGAGUGCAGAAGAGGAAAGUGGAAUUCCACGUGUAGCGGUGAAAUGCGUAGAGAUGUGGAGGAACACCAGUGGCGAAGGCGACUUUCUGGUCUGUAACUGACGCUGAGGCGCGAAAGCGUGGGGAG